rnacentral:lncRNA from 1 species
UUUCCUCGUUCUAACACCCUCUUCCCUGUGCGGACUCCAAGACUCUCCAUGCAGCAAUAUUAGGUACUGAUAUUCCCCCCUGGGGAGACACCGGCAUAUCUGAGCAGGGGGCUGGAGGCCUGGCUGUGACAGCUGAUCUGAUAAGCAGCUUUGUGAUUCUGAAGCUUCUGUUUUAGCUCCAAUUAUGAUUCCUGCUGCACUUCUAAAUGCUUCUUAUGUCUGGCUAAUUUCUAACUAGUAAGAUCUUUGUGCCUUAACCUCUGCUCAGAGUAAACGCAUGUCCUUCUCCUUCCCUUUGAUGGCACGACUGUCCUGGGAUAUGUGUCAUCUGUUUCUAAGAAGCGAUUCCUGCUCAGUGCCCGGUGAGAAGAGGAAUCACUUCUGGUUUUGUGCUUUGGAAGGGAUGUUUUCCAGAGCCCAGCCUGGCAAUAGUCUCAGCACCAGAAAAAACGCUGAAAACUCAGCAGCUCCCCGGCAUUUGUGUUGAAUUGACAAAUCCCCCCCACCAUCACUGACAGGAACAGGCUGCUGCUAAACAGUUGAAGAGCAUUUACCAAGAGAGACAUAAGGGAUUAACUUUGCCUUCUCCAGCAUGUUGCUGCGCCUCCAGCGACUCCGGGAAGGGAGCACAGGGAAGCUGGGGUGAGGCUUUGCCCAGAACGUGCCUGGAUAACGGGAAUAGGUGCUUGAUAGCGGUGUGCAGCUAAGUCGGGUGGUACAGAAAAGCCACGUGCUGCGGAAAAGAGGCAAGCGGCUAAGUGCCUUGAAAGAAAACAGGGAUUUGCCCAGAAGCUCAUCACUUCUGUCCUUGGUACCUCUUAGAAGCAGAGACCGAGGUUGGAAAGGUGCAAUGGCACUGUGCAGGGACUCGGGCUCCCCACUGGUCUCUGCUGGGGAGCUCGGGGCUGCAGCGUCCGUGUGCUGCUCUGUGAGUGACGGGCAGAAUACCCAGUGCUAGGAGGUGAUGCGUGUGCACAGAAGUGAUGUGUGUCCAUCCAGCAGUCCUCACGAGCACAAGAGCUGCUCUCUUCCAGCUACCUAUACCGAACCAUUGCAGGCUGCAUGAGGUGUGGUGUCCCUGCAGCGCACACUGCACUGCGGGGCCGUUCCCCCUCGGAAACGGAGAGGACUUGGAUAGAAAACGAACAAACCGAGGUCCAAAUGCCAGAUUCAAAUCCAGCUGGGAAGCCCGUGUGUACGUUCAGGUUUGGUGCUGCUCAAAGAUUUGGGUUCCUUUCAGUCAAAAGCUGGCAUUUGACCCCAGGUUUUCCCAAGGUAGAAGAAAAUGUGGAGUUGGGCUCCAAAACCUAACCUGAACCGCGGGUGACUGUGGCGCAGUGAGCGAGGUGCCUUCUGCAGCUCCAUCAAAGGCCCCCUGACACUAAAAGGGUUUUAAAAGGACGCUGUCGAGUUAAGCACCACGUUUCUCUCUCGUAUUGUUACAAGUAAUUCCUGCCAUUUCUGUACAUGAAAGAGAUGAGAGGAAGAACAGUUUUCUGAUUGCUGUUUGCUUGUUCUGUUAUUAAAAAAA